GAAGUGCCAAGGCUUUUGCCACUUCGAUUGACAUGAACAUGUUCGAGGCUCCAAGGCGUAUAGCACUUGGCCACACAUUUUGAUCUCCACAAAAAACACGUCCGAGUUUGAGGUAGCUUUCUUUUCUUUGGAUGGUGAUCGAGCUUGGACGGUGUUGACAACCUUCAUGCCUCCAAGUCAGAUCUAUCGCUUCUCUUCUUUGGGCUCCUCCUCCUCCUAUUCUUUGAUGGCAAGGGGAGUGUUGAUCUUGCCAUUCUUUAUGCACUUUUAGGUCCAAUGCGCACCUUUGCAAAUGAAGUAAGGAGAAGGCGAGGUUGAUCGAACUUACUUGUUGUGUAGUCCGUUUGUAAGGACGGCUUGGAAGUUCCUUUCCCCCUUGUCUUGACUCAGCUGCCUUGAUUUUUUAGUGCACGGGGAGUGUCUCCAGCUUCGUCUUCGGAGGAUCGAUCCGACAUCCAAUCCCUUGCUCGGUUUUUGGCUCAGCUUUAGUGAGGUCGACGAGGGACUCGUCACGCUUAGCGCUCUCGCGAGACUUUGCAUAUCUCGUCUUUUGAGCUCGAGUUGUCCCACGGCUUCAGUCCAUCCAUGAACGCUUCGAGAGCUCGAGUUGUCCCAUGGUUGCGGAUUUGGAGUUUGAGCUCUGUGAAUUGCUUCUUGUUGAGCAAACUUAGGGAAGAAAUAAUCUCGGAACUCCCUCACGAAGUCAUCCCAUGUGUCCAUGGGAUUGGUGCCGUGCUUGGUCUUGUCGCACCUAUUGCGCCACCAAAGCAUUACAGUAUCGGUAAGGAACAUCGAAGCGGUUCUUAUCUUGAUUGACUCGUCUUGGAUGUUGACAACGCUAAAGUAUUGCUCCAUGCUCCAAAUGAAGUUGUCAACUUCCUUAGUGGAUCGGUUGCUUUUGAAUUCUUUAGGCUUCGACACCUCAAGCUUGGGCAUUGCUUGUAGGCAUCAACCCAUUGUUGCUCAAUCUGCAUAGGGCAAGCUCAGUCUUUAACUCUUGGAUCUCCGCCUUUAUGACUUCGACCUCAUCCCUACAAGAGCUUCCUUCCUCGAUCACUUGGACGCGCUCCUUCAAUACAUCGAUCGAUGCUUCAAGGGCUUCGUCCUUGUCGUGCAACGAAGCCGUCACUUGGUUGAUGUCGGUCGUGAAGUCUUCAUAGAGCGAGACCUCAACCUCCAUGUGGUCUCUCACGUCGUCGAGUCCUUCCAUGAGCUUGACCAUGGCACUCUCGAGUCCUUCCAUGAACUUGACAAUGGCACUCCGAACCUUUGCCAACUUUUCAUCCAACAUAGCUACGGCGUCCAUCGAAGCUUCUCUUUUCUUUGUUUGGCCAGGAGUCUCAUUGACUUGAAUGACCUCUCCAUCCAUGAUAGCUUCUUGGCUCAACAUUCUCUCGAACAGUUGGUGCUCCUCAAUCUCUCGAAACGGAUCCCUCCUUUGCUUUGAUACUACUUGUCACGGGCCGAUCAAUUAGGAUCGUGACCAUGCGACGACUGAAGCAGUUUUAGAUCGACUUGGAUCUUUACUCUGAUACCACUUGUCACGGAUCGACUUUGAUAUUUGCUCUGAUACAACUUGUCACGGACCGAUCGAUUGGGAUCGUGACCGUGCAGCGAUUUGGCACUUUUGGAUCGACUUGGGCACUUUUGGAUCGACUUGGAUCAUCGGGAUGCCUAAGCCAAGCUUUGUUCGAUCGAUCGCACACUCGCUCGCUUCACUCGGAUCAUAGAGAGAGAGUUUCUAGAGAGAGAAGCUCUGGAAAGAAAGGAGCCUUUGUAUUGUUGAAAUGAGGGGGAGGGCAUUCCUUCUUAUACUAUAGGCCCUCGGAUUACAUCCAUUGAUCGAGAAUUCAUCUGGUGGACGAGAUCACACUGCCAAACUUACCAAUUACCAACACUAAUGAUAGGAGAGUUCUAGAAUUUGGCGUAAUAACCGUAUCGCCCGCCUUUGGAAAGUUAUGGAAGAAGUCUUAUCGGGAAUCCUAGCGAUCGCAAGAGGUCCUCCUCGGAAAGACAUAGCCCUUUAGCUAUAGAUACCUAUUGGCUAUGACACUCAUUUGGGAUCGAGAUCAUGUAGCGACUUAAGCUCCCUUGGAUCAUUUGAAAUUGUUGGUAUCAUUUGAAAUUGUUGGAGCACCUAAGCCAAGCCUUUCUUGGAUUGAUCACUCAUUCGCUUGCUCCCCCUAAUUCUUAAAAAGAGAAAGUUUCUAGAGAGAGAAGCUCUGAACGAGAGAAAUGAAGUUUGAUUGUGAAAUGGUUGGAUGAUUGCAAUGAAGAGGAGGGUACCCAUUCUUAUACUUGAGGCUCUCAGAUUACAACCAUUGCCUUUCGAUUCGAUGUCAUCAUGUUGUGAGUUGGAGUAGGAGGAUCCAACUCUACCUUCGGCUUCUCCAAAGGUUGCAGCUUUGGUUGUGACUCAAUCAUGCGCUUCUUAGCCUUUAGAUUUUUGUCAAGGCAUCGGAUCAUGGCAGUGGCCUUGGUGUUUACCGCCUCUUUGAUCAUUGGAUUGGAUCAUCACCGAACAUUGCGGGUCAAGGAUCAUCACCGGACAUUGCGUAGUAAUGGUCUUGUCGAUCAUGGACACACUUUGGAAGAAUUGCAUGCCCAAAAUAAGAUUGUAGUCAUCAGGGGAAUAGUUACCUUGAAUGAGAGCUUGCCCUUCCAUCAUCCAAUUUGAACGUCCACAUUAGGAGUUGAGCCUAUGCCUUUGAGUUGUCCGUGUUGACGGCCUUGAAUGAUUUUCCAUUUGGCUCCACGCGAAGUUACAAAGUCCUGCUACCUCAGUGGACAUGAACAUAUUCGAAGCACCCCUGUCAAUCAAGGCAUAUAUAGAACUCGGCCAUAUACCUCCAUUUCCACGAAAAACACGUUCGUGUUUGGGAUGGGUUUCUUCUUUUUGGGCGGUGAUCGGGCUUGGACGAUAUUGAGAUACUCCAAGAUGGAUUUGCCUCUUCUCUUCUUUGAGCUCCUCCUCCUCUUCUAUGGCGAGGGGAGCGUUGAUCUUGCCUGAUCUUGCCCUUCUUUGGGCACUUUUGAGUCCAAUGUGGACCUUUGCAAAUGAAG
rnacentral:lncRNA from 1 species